rnacentral:rRNA from 1 species
GACGAACGCUGGCGGCGUGCCUAAUACAUGCAAGUAGAACGCACAGUUUAUACCGUAGCUUGCUACACCAUAGACUGUGAGUUGCGAACGGGUGAGUAACGCGUAGGUAACCUGCCUGGUAGCGGGGGAUAACUAUUGGAAACGAUAGCUAAUACCGCAUAAUAUUAAUUAUUGCAUGAUAAUUAAUUGAAAGGUGCAAUUGCACCACUACCAGAUGGACCUGCGUUGUAUUAGCUAGUAGGUGAGGUAACGGCUCACCUAGGCGACGAUACAUAGCCGACCUGAGAGGGUGAUCGGCCACACUGGGACUGAGACACGGCCCAGACUCCUAUGGGAGGCAGCAGUAGGGAAUCUUCGGCAAUGGACGAAAGUCUGACCGAGCAACGCCGCGUGAGUGAAGAAGGUUGUCGGAUCGGAAAGCUCUGUUGUAGGAGAAGAACGGGUGUGAGAGUGGAAAGUUCACACUGUGACGGUAUCUUACCAGAAAGGGACGGCUAACUACGUG